GGGAUUACUAAUGGCGUAGUGCG
rnacentral:miRNA from 1 species